rnacentral:rRNA from 1 species
UACGGGGGGGGGCAAGCGUUGUUCGGAAUUACUGGGCGUAAAGGGCUUGUAGGUGGCCAACUAAGUCAGACGUGAAAUCCCACGGCUUAACCGGGGAACUGCGUCUGAUACUGGAUGGCUUGAGUGUGGGAGAGGGAUGCGGAAUUCCUGGUGUAGCGGUGAAAUGCGCAGAUAUCAGGAGGAACACCGGUGGCGAAGGCGGGUCUCUGGGCAGUUACUGACGCUGGAGGAGCGAAAGCGUGGGGAGCGAACAGG